GGCCCAAUCCUGAUUAGUCACCUUGAUGGUGUGCGUCUCCUUAUUUAAGGAGUAGGGGUUGGGUUUUUA
rnacentral:ncRNA from 21 species